CUCCUGGCUGCGCUUUGCCAAGAAACAGUUCCUGAAUGUACCAGUUCUGCCAACUGUCAAGAGAAAGACAGACAUAUCAAUGACAGACGGUGGUUUGCAGGAACCACAAACACAGUGGAUUUACAUUGCAUUAAGAUUUCUGAGGAACUCUACAAUUAUCACAAAUCAGGAGAUUUCCCCAGCAGGAACACAUGUACACAUUUUACAAGGUGUUGAACAACCUCACACAAUGCAUACAAUUAUCUGUAACAGCUCACAGAUGGGCAAUCACUCUGCCACAUCAACAUGCUUUAUAAUGUGGUUUCAGUGUGUGCACACACACGCACACACACCUACAGCACAUAUGGAGAGUGGUUGUGUAAAUGGCUGUCUUGCUGAAAGGAUGCCAUGGGCAAGAACAGUCACGGGGGAAUCCAGCUCCACGUGCUGCAGCUCCACUCGGCAUUGGACAGAAUACUGGGAGCAGAGGUCUAAUAAAUCACAAACACUCAAACAAAGGGCUUCCUUGGCUAAGCUAAAAACUGAUCGAAACAACAAGAUAUGGAGAUAUUUGGAGCUCUUUGUUCAGCGGAUCAGUUAGAAAUAAUGCAGGGAGGAA